UGGCUAAUCCUGGUCGGACAUCAGGAGGUUAGUGCAAUGGCAUAAGCCAGCUUGACUGCGAGCGUGACGGCGCGAGCAGGUGCGAAAGCAGGUCAUAGUGAUCCGGUGGUUCUGAAUGGAAGGGCCAUCGCUCAACGGAUAAAAGGUACUCCGGGGAUAACAGGCUGAUACCGCCCAAGAGUUCAUAUCGACGGCGGUGUUUGGCACCUCGAUGUCGGCUCAUCACAUCCUGGGGCUGAAGUAGGUCCCAAGGGUAUGGCUGUUCGCCAUUUAAAGUGGUACGCGAGCUGGGUUUAGAACGUCGUGAGACAGUUCGGUCCCUAUCUGCCGUGGGCGCUGGAGAACUGAGGGGGGCUGCUCCUAGUACGAGAGGACCGGAGUGGACGCAUCACUGGUGUUCGGGUUGUCAUGCCAAUGGCACUGCCCGGUAGCUAAAUGCGGAAGAGAUAAGUG
rnacentral:rRNA from 1 species